rnacentral:rRNA from 1 species
ACCUAGUAUUGGGUGGAAAGUGGCGAACGGGUGAGUAACACGUUGGUGACCUGUCCCGAGGAGGGGGAUAACCGUGGGAAACCACGGCUAAUACCCCAGAUGUCUGGAUUGUUAGAGGAUCUAGACUAAAGCUCCGGCGCCUUGGGAGGGACCUGCGGGCUAUCAGCUUGUUGGUGGGGUAAAGGCCUACCAAGGCUAAGACGGCUAGGGGGCGUGAGAGCGCGACCCCCCACAAUGGAACUGAGACACGGUCCAG